UUGCUGGAGCUCACCUUCACUAGUUUGGUCGGAGUAUUUUAAAAACAUUUUCUGUUAUUUUACUUACAAGAUAAAAUGAAAUGAAAGACCAAUUAACAGAGACAAAGGUUGAGGAAAGGAUAUAUCAGGUCACGACGGGUCAAUUCUUAAUUUUGACCCUGAAACCCAGAGUGCAAGUACCCCUUUGGAAAAAACGGUCACUGCGACUCAACAAUGUGACAAAUGUGGGAAAACAUACCAAACCACGCAGGGUCUAAGAGUCCAUAAGAAAAGAGAACAUGAGGAACCUCCUUUCAGUUGUGCACAGUGUCCUAAAAAAUAUGUAUCAAGGACUUUGUUUCGAUCUCAUGUUUUGAAUCAUGUGCAGGAGAAGCAAUACAAGUGUAAGGAUUGUGGAAAGGACUAUGUCCACAAUAAGGACCUACAGAUACACAUCAAGGCAAAACACUUACAACAGAAAUUUGCGUGCAAGGAGUGUGGCACCAGCUUUUCUUAUAAAAGAUCUUUAAGAAGACAUGAACAAGCAGAAC